rnacentral:rRNA from 1 species
GAAUUUUGGACAAUGGGCGCAAGCCUGAUCCAGCCAUGCCGCGUGCGGGAAGAAGGCCUUCGGGUUGUAAACCGCUUUUGUCAGGGAAGAAACGCUACGAGCUAAUAUCUCGGAGUAAUGACGGUACCUGAAGACUAAACACCGGCUAACUACGUGCCAGCAGCCGCGGUAAUACGUAGGGUGCAAGCGUUAAUCGGAAUUACUGGGCGUAAAGCGUGCGCAGGCGGCUUUGCAAGACAGAUGUGAAAUCCCCGGGCUUAACCUGGGAACUGCAUUUGUGACUGCAUGGCUGGAGUGCGGCAGAGGGGGAUGGAAUUCCGCGUGUAGCAGUGAAAUGCGUAGAUAUGCGGAGGAACACCGAUGGCGAAGGCAAUCCCCUGGGCCUGCACUGACGCUCAUGCACGAAAGCGUGGGGAGCAAACAGG